AGCGGCAGACGGGCGAGUAACACGUAGAUGACGUACCCUCAGACGGGGAUACGGAUGGAAACAUGCGCUAAUACCGGAUGACUUACGAUGUCAGAAUGGUAAGGAAAGCUACGGGCUUGAGGAGCGGUCUGCGGCCAUCAGCUAUUGGUAGGGUAAAGGCCUACCAGGCGAAACGGGUAGGGGUGUGAGAGCACGCCCCCCACAAUGGGACUGAGACACGGCCAUACUCCUACGGAGCACACAGGAAUAUGCACAAUGGACGGAAGUCUGAUGCAGCGACGCCGCGUGAGUGAAGAAGGCCUUCGGGUUGUAAAACUCUUUUGAGGGGGAAGAGCGAGGACGGUACCCCUGGAAUAAGCGUCGGCUAACUACGUGCCAGCAGCCGCGGUAAGACGUAGGACGCGAGCGUUAUCCGGAUUUACUGGGCGUAAAGCGUCUGUAGGCGGAUGUGUAAGUUGGGCGUGAAAGCUCCGGGCUUAACCCGGAGAGGCCGUUCAAUACUGCAUAACUUGAGGGUGUCAGAGGGGAGCGGAAUUCCCGGUGUAGCGGUAAAAUGCGCAGAGAUCGGGAGGAACACCAGUGGCGGAGGCGGUUCCCUGGGGCACACCUGACGCUGAGAGACGAAAGCUAGGGGAGCGAACAGGAUUAGAGACCCUGGUAGUCCUAGCCCUAAACGAUGAAUGCUAGGUGUGGGAUCGAAUGGUUCCGUGCCGGAGCGAACGCGAUAAGCAUUCCGCCUGGGGAGUACGGCCGCAAGGUUAAAACUCAAACGAAUUGACGGGGCCCCGCACAAGCAGCGGAGCGUGUGGUUUAAUUCGAUGCUACACGAAGAACCUUACCUGGGUUUGACAUGUAGGUGGUAGUGAAUCGAAAGGUGAACGACCCUUCGGGGAGCCUACACAGGUGCUGCAUGGCUGUCGUCAGCUCGUGCCGUGAGGUGUCGGGUUAAGUCCCGUAACGAGCGCAACCCUUGCUCCUAGUUACAAGUGUCUAGGGGGACUGCCGGCGGAAAGCCGGAGGAAGGUGGGGAUGACGUCAAGUCAGCAUGGCCCUUAUAUCCAGGGCUACACACACGCUGCAAUGGUCGGUACAAAGGGCAGCGAAACCGCGAGGCGGAGCGAAUCCGAGAAAAGCCGAUCGUAGUUCGGAUAGCAGGCUGCAACCCGCCUGCUUGAAGCUGGAGUUGCUAGUAACCGCGCGUCAGCCAUAGCGCGGUGAUACGUUCCCGGGGCUUGUACACACCGCCCGUCACGUCAUGGGAG
rnacentral:rRNA from 1 species